AUGGGUCCUUCCUCUAUUCUCCUUCGGCUACAGCCUGUGCUCUCAUGCAAACCGGUGAUGAGAAAUGCUUCGAAUACAUCGACUGAAUCGUCAAGAAAUUCAACGGAGGUAAGAGUUCCCAAUGUUUACCCGGUCGAUCUCUUUGAGCGCAUCUGGGCCGUCGAUCGGUUGGAGCGUCUUGGAAUCUCGCGCUAUUUCAAGCAAGAAAUCAAACAGUGCUUGGACUAUGUUCACAGGCACUGGACUGAUGAGGGGAUUUCCUGGGCGAGGAACUCCACUGUAAUAGACGUGGAUGACACAUCCAUGGCGUUCCGGCUGCUGCGGCUACAUGGAUACGAUGUCUCCCCUACUGUAUUUGAGAAGUUUGAGAAGGACGGGGAGUUCUUCUGUUUCGUGGGGCAAUCAACACAAGCAGUCACUGGGAUGUACAACCUGAACAGGGCCUCUCAGGUAAGGUUCCCCGGAGAGGACUUGUUGCAGCAUGCAGGGAGAUUCUCGUAUGAGUUCCUGAGAGAAAGGGAAGCCCGUGGCACGAUUCGAGACAAAUGGAUCAUUGCUAAGGAUCUACCAGGCGAGGUAAAGUAUACACUGGACUUCCCAUGGUAUGCAAGCUUACCGCGUGUAGAAGCAAGAGUCUACCUCGAUCAAUAUGGUGGUGAUAAUGAUGUCUGGAUUGGAAAGACACUCUACAGGAUGCCACUUGUGAACAACAACACCUAUCUUGAGUUGGCAAAGCGUGAUUUCAAUCGCUGCCAAGUCCAACAUCAGCUUGAGUGGCAUGGCCUACAAAAGUGGUUUACUGAGAAUGGCCUCGAGACUUUUGGGGUGACUUUAAGAGAUGUUUUGAGAGUUUAUUUUCUAGCCGCCGCUUGCAUUUUCGAGCCAAGCCGUGCCACCGAGCGACUUGCAUGGGCCAAGGUGUCAGUGCUGGCCAACAUUAUUACUAAAUACCUUCAUAGCGAUUUGUCGGGUAAUGAAAUGAUGGAACGGUUUAUGCAAGGCGGUAUCUAUGAAGGAAAUAGUAAUAUAUCAUGGCAUAAAGGAGGUGCAAAAGAGGACAUUCUUGUCGGGGCAUUUGAGCAACUUAUUGAUUUAUUGGCACAAGAGGCACUACCUGUUGGUGAAGGACCAGUGUACAUCAACAAUUUGUUACGCUGUGCUUGGAUCGAAUGGAUGAUGCAACAGAAAAACAGAGAGGAUGACACCUUCGGUUCAGGUGUUGUUCAAGCUGGGCCGUGCAUGGUUCAUGAUAAACAAACAUGUUUGCUUCUAGUCAAAAUUAUUGAGAUUUGUGGUGGACGAACUGGUGAAGCAUCAUCGAUGAUAAACACCAUGGAUGGUGCCUGGUUUAUUCAACUUGCGUCCUCUAUUUGUGACAACCUUCACCACAAGAUGUUACUUUCUGAGGACACCAAAAGGAACGAGGCGGCAAUGAGCCACAUGGACGAGAGAAUUGAGGCAGGCAUGCAGGAACUCACCCAGAAUGUCCUCCAGGCGCACGGUGAUGGGACGAGCAGCGACACGAAGCAAACCUUGUUGAGCGUCGUGAGGAGCUGUUACUACGCCGCUAACUGCCCUCCCCAUGUGUUCGAUGGACAUGUCUCCAAGGUCAUUUUCGAACAUGUGUUUUGA
rnacentral:rRNA from 1 species